rnacentral:lncRNA from 1 species
UGUCUCACACGACUGAAGACCUCUCCCUGAGACUACCACGGCAGCAAUCCCAGCUACUCUCUAUACCCUCAUCUGUCACUUCAGAAAGUUUCCUCUACCUGAGACCCUCAGGUCCUCACCCAGGACGAUCUUCCUCCACCUACUGCCAAAACUGUCUCCCUGAGAAGUCACAAGAAAGGCUCCCUCGCCACUACCUUAGGGCUGAAAAUUUGUCAGUCUGGAAAGCAGUGGGAGAAAGUGCAAUCAAAGGGGUAAACUGAGGCAUAAGUGUGCACUCAGAAAACA